GAACGCACAUUGCGCCCUUUGGUAUUCCGAAGGGCAUGCCUGUUCGAGCGUCAUUAUCACCCCUCAAGCCCUCGGCUUGGUGUUGGACGGUUUGGUGGAGGCCCCCUCGGGGGCUCCUGCCCCUCCCAAAGACAAUGACGGCGGCCUCGUUGGACCCCCGGUACACUGAGUUCUUCACGGGACACGUAUCGGACACAUGGGUUUACGGGACACGGUCUGCCUCCCCUCAGGGAGAAUCUUUCUAAGGUUGACCUCGGAUCAGGUAGGGAUACCCGCUGAACUUA
rnacentral:misc_RNA from 1 species